rnacentral:rRNA from 1 species
UACGGGGGGAGCAAGCGUUGUUCGGAUUUACUGGGCGUAAAGGGCGCGUAGGCGGCGCGACAAGUCACUUGUGAAAUCUCCGGGCUUAACUCGGAGCGGCCAAGUGAUACUGUCGUGCUAGAGUGCGGAAGGGGCAACUGGAAUUCUCGGUGUAGCGGUGAAAUGCGCAGAUAUCAGGAGGAACACCGGUGGCGAAGGCGGCUUUCUGGGCCUUACCUGACGCUGAGGAGCGAAAGCUGGGGGAGCGAACAGG